AUUGAACGCUGGCGGCAGGCCUAACACAUGCAAGUCGAGCGGAUGAAGGGAGCUUGCUCCUGGAUUCAGCGGCGGACGGGUGAGUAAUGCCUAGGAAUCUGCCUGGUAGUGGGGGAUAACGUCCGGAAACGGGCGCUAAUACCGCAUACGUCCUGAGGGAGAAAGUGGGGGAUCUUCGGACCUCACGCUAUCAGAUGAGCCUAGGUCGGAUUAGCUAGUUGGUGGGGUAAAGGCCUACCAAGGCGACGAUCCGUAACUGGUCUGAGAGGAUGAUCAGCCACACUGGAAAUGAGACACGGUCCAGACUCCUACGGGAGGCAGCAGUGGGGAAUAUUGGACAAUGGGCGAAAGCCUGAUCCAGCCAUGCCGCGUGUGUGAAGAAGGUCUUCGGAUUGUAAAGCACUUUAAGUUGGGAGGAAGGGCAGUAAGUUAAUACCUUGCUGUUUUGACGUUACCAACAGAAUAAGCACCGGCUAACUUCGUG
rnacentral:rRNA from 1 species